rnacentral:rRNA from 1 species
GAUGAACGCUGGCGGCGUGCCUAAUACAUGCAAGUCGAGCGAACAGACGAGAAGCUUGCUCCUCUGACGUUAGCGGCGGACGGGUGAGUAACACGUGGAUAACCUACCUAUAAGACUGGGAUAACUUCGGGAAACCGGAGCUAAUACCGGAUAAUAUAUUGAACCGCAUGGUUCAAUAGUGAAAGACGGUCUUGCUGUCACUUAUAGAUGGAUCCGCGCCGCAUUAGCUAGUUGGUAAGGUAACGGCUUACCAAGGCAACGAUGCGUAGCCGACCUGAGAGGGUGAGCGGCCACACUGGAACUGAGACACGGUCCAGACUCCUACGGGAGGCAGCAGUAGGGAAUCUUCCGCAAUGGGCGAAAGCCUGACGGAGCAACGCCGCGUGAGUGAUGAAGGUCUUCGGAUCGUAAAACUCUGUUAUUAGGGAAGAACAAAUGUGUAAGUAACUAUGCACGUCUUGACGGUACCUAAUCAGAAAGCCACGGCUAACUACGUG